rnacentral:rRNA from 1 species
UUAUAAUCGAUCAUAUAGGGAUUUUUCUUGAAGGGUGGGAAAGAGAUGUGCGAGGUGUGGAUGGACGGACCAUCACGGCCACCAAUUCCCAAAAUAAGGUUUCUUGGUUACAUGGCUUCAGAUGCUUUACACAUUUGAGCUGUCAAGACAAAUUAGAACAUUACUCGAGGCCUCUUUAGGGGGUCUUAUGGCUGACCUCCGAAGUUCUUUUUCUUUUGAAGAAUCACCGCGAGAGAGUGGGGAGGGGGCUCCACGAAAAAAACCUCCCCCUUCCCCUCCCGCAGGCGAUAGGGAGGGCCACCCCAGCGCCGCCGGUCUCUACCUCUCCGCCCACCUCCUCCCCUCGCCUUCGCCGGGCAAAGCCCGGUCGGCGUCGGUGGCGGCGGAGCGUUCUCUCCCCUCGGUUGGCGGAGGUUGGCGCGGGCGGGCGUCCUCCGGCUGGUGGCCGCGCGCGACAGCGGUGGGGGCUCGUGCGUGUUCCAUUCCCGUGGCUGCGUCUGGAUGUGGUGUGGAGGGCUGUGCGGGGCCCCUCUAGAGUGGCCGUGGUGGCCGGAUUUGGUUUGUCCAGAUCUGGCCGUCGGCUCCUUGGGGGGCGCGGAGCUUCCCUUUGGUCAUGGUGGCGGCCCCUGGAUGGGAUUUCCCUCCGGUGACGGGUACUGAUGUCGAGCUAGGAGUAGAUGGUGUGUCGUCACUCUUCCUACCGUGGUUGAGUGCGUUGUGAUGUGAGCGGUGCACGCUAUCUCGCGACAGGGAUGCCGGGGCGGCGGCCCCGGAUGGUGGUUCGCAUGGUGGCGGCUUUCCUCCUGGGUUGUGUGGGCAACAGGAGGUGUUGCGACGGGUAGCUCGGACGUGCCCUCUCUCUCUCGGAGGGGCGGCGUCCUGAUCCGGAUCUGGGGACCUGACAUUGUCGCGUUCCUCAUGGCGGCCUCGUGGUGGCACAGAUGAGUUGCCGAGCGAAAACUCCAUGCCUUGGCGCCGAUGACGGCGACACCCGUUGGUGCCGCGCUCUUCUUGAAGACGUUGUUGUGGUUCUUCUCUCCGUGUCAGGGCUCCGGGUGAAGAUCUUUGUCCGUGUGGACUCGGCAGCGGCGACGCUCUGCGCCGUUCUCCCUCUUGGGGGCGUUGUCAUGGAGCUUAGGUGUGCUAGGUUGUAGCGUGGGGUGUGUUUAGUUCUCCCAGUGCUCUUUGCUGGUAGCAUAGUCGCGUGCGUUCUGUGUCUGCCGGUUAUCUCAGGAUUGGCUUUGUAAGAGGGCUACCUCACCAUCUUGUAUCGUUCGGCCAUGUACUUCUUCGGGUGUUGCUUUAUAUAUAAAGCGGGGCUUUCGCCUGUUUCGAGAGGGGGAUCCACC